rnacentral:misc_RNA from 1 species
AUUCAAAAUUUUGUAUCUUGAAUCAGAUCGAUAAAAUCGAACCGGAUCGGAUCGGACCGGUCGAAUCGGACAGGUCUUCUUCUCUUUUUCUUCUCCCUCCCGCGCGCGUCGACCUUCUCCUCUUCUCUCUCUAUUUUCUCUCUCCUCCCUCCUCCCCUUGCCGCGCCGCCACCUCCCCUGCCUUCCCACCUCGUCGGCGCGCCGCCUCAGCCCUCCCCCAUGGCCGGCCGCCACCUGGAACGCCGGAAAACGGCCCCAGAAACAACGCGUAGCUCGCGCGCGACUCCUCUACUUCCCGGCCAAAAUCCGGCCGAUCCGG